GCCCUGCCAGCGCACAGCCCUUUGCUGGCCGCCUCGCUGAAGGGAGCCUGUGAGAUGCCCGGUUAUCUCUCGGGACGGAGCAGAGGAGCAGAGCGAGCAGCUCCCUUCGGGAGGCAGGAGGAGCCCUGUGUUUGCUGAGCUGCUCCAGGGAGUCGCUGCCCGGUGAGUCACGUCAGCGCUCCGCCCGCCCUGCUCUGAGCAUCGGCCCUGCGGACUGCCAGCCACUCUCUGGUUCCUCUUGGAAACUGAAGAGGAAAUUGAAGCUUCACCCUUCCUCAAAGCACAGGACAGCAGCAGCUUGUUCUGCUUAACUGUUCUGGAAGGGUUGUGUGUCUAACAUUUUCACAUCAAUUUUAGUCAUUAGGACUGAACCCGUGAAUUUCAGGUAUAGGAGGCGUAUGUCCACAGGUUCACAAAAUCGCACACCAAAACACUGCCUCCUCUUUGCAGCUGCCAAGAAACUGAAGUGACUCAACUAAAAAAGCAAAUUUAGUGACCUUCAUCCCAGUACAUGGAAAUAAUCACCAAAUGAAGUUGCUAUUCUGGCAGCAAGGAUUUAAGUUUCAAAUUGCAGAUAACAAUAAGGUUUGUUAUUCCAUACAUUAUAGAAUUUUUUCUGUUGAGUCUCAUUGCUUAAAAUAUAGUGGACUAUUACCACCUUCUCCUGAAUUUUUAUGAAAGCAUUCCCUAAAUAUAAAUGAUGAAUAAGGUAGUUUGUCCUGUAAGUAUUAAUUUUGAUAAGAAACACAGCAGUCUUACUGUGCUGGGAAGAUGUCAAAGUCAUAAUGUAUGAUGUCUGUGUGCUAAUUAAACUGCAGCUUGUCCAGAGUCACCAUGCUCACUGCAAAACCCAGUUUCAUUGCCUCUGUACUGCCCAGAGGCCCUCAGCUGAAACUCUCCUCCUUUGAUGAAGCUGCCUGAGAUUGUGUCUGAGAAAGGCCCAAGGCAACAAGAUGGAUGGACUUGAUACAUUCCUCCAAGUUAUACCAAAAGAGAACAAGAGAAUUCAUUGUAACAUUAAACUCUGUUCUGAAUAUUAUUAUAUAUAUUGAGGAAAAGAACUGUUCAAGAACUUCAUGCUUAGGUAAAAACUCAAGAUGAGCUUAACUAAGCCAGGAUUAGAAAACAAAUUUGAGGAUGUUAAACAUUUUAACGUUCUUAACAAUUUACAUAAUUUGAGCCCUUAAAUACUUGAGUGCUGGGAGCUGGUAAAAGAGUUGUUUGAACAAGGUAUUUUAAAGCCUAAUAUUUACCAGGAAAAUAUGCACACUGCCAAAUAUAAACAUAAUACAGUAAUGUCCAGGAAUUUAUACUCAUUCAGAGAAGUCAUCUAGGAAAAGAAAAUGCUGAAUGUGUUAGAGGAUGGAAGUUUGUUAUUGUUUUAGUGAGAUCACUAGUAGAAGUCAAUAUAAUAUAUAGAAUACUAGAGAAUUAUCUGUCUUGACUAUGUGAAAUUAACUUUGUCAAUUAUUUGGAGUAACACAUCCUGAAGAAACAUACAAACAAGCAAAGAAAAGGAGAAAGUUCCCUAAUUAAUUCAUGCCAUUUACAAACCAAUAGAGAGUUAAAGCUUGAAAUCCUUGGUGAUGUUUCUUGACUCCCAAGUUUUCCCCACCAAAUUUUCUAUUGAACUUCAAGUUUUUAGACAGGUUCUGUAGAGUGGAACAAUUCUAACAGAAUUAUUAUUCUAAUAGAAUAGAGUCUUCUAAGUAACAGCACAGCUCAGGCUUUACAAUUAAGCAAAAUGAUGCAUUACACUUGUGCUCACAGUGUUGUCCUUCAUAAAAGUGGUCACUGAAAUUUGAAAUCGGACAUUCAAAACUCCAGAGUCAAAGUAAGGAUCACCAUGUGUCCACUCACAAGGACAGAAUGGACGGGACCAGACAGAGUUUUUUAAAAGGGAUCUCUUUUCCUCCUCCAAGCAUUUGGCAAUGUCCUGUCUUGCAAAGGCCUAAACUCGUGGACUUUGGUCACUUCAGACACUUCUGCUUUGCAGUGAAUCUUUCCACCUAGGAAGACAUAACCUUAGUCCUGCAUCACAUAUCUUCAUUAUUAGUCUUCAGUACUUGCAAGGACUGGCAAAUUCCACAAUGAUCACAAAUUGUUCUUCUUGGAACUUUGCAUUUUGUGCACGCCAGCUUAUAAAACAACAUAGAUUUUUAACACUCUAAAAGCUGAAUAGCUUUCUUUUUAUGUUUUCUCCCUUUUCCUAACAGGGAAUGGAAGAGUUUCCUGCAGAGGAGAGAUCAGGGAAAAAAAUAUUUUGCUUCCCCCGCCACUGCAACUUCUUUGCAGUAAUUGAGCCUUAUUCACCUUUGCUGCUUCUUCUUUUCUGCCACGUCAAAACUUUCUUCACAAAAUACUGUGAUCUGAAAAUUUUGACACAUUAAAUGGCUGAAUUUAAGAAUAUUAAGUUUGAAAGAGAAAGGGAAGCAAAACAUUUUUGUUCAGACUAAUAAAAAAAGAGUUGAGUUCCAAUACUUAUUUAAUGCUCACAAAUAACAUUUUCAAUGAGAUGAGGAUCUUUCCUGGACCUUCACUUUCCAUUUACAUUGACCUUGCAAUUAGAACUUAGAAUUUAGCAUUGAGUCACUGGGGGAGCUCUCUAGAUUGGAACAACCAAUACAGGAUCUACAGAUUUGUAAUCUGAGUCUUAUUCUUGGAUUUAGCUGGCAAAUUACCAGUUUUGGAGAACACUCUCUUUGCAUACUUCAAUUUCAAAUCAAUUCACCAGAUACAGCCCUCAGUAAGGUGAGAACAGUAUUGUUGUAGAAAAGGGAUGCUUUAACUCUGUAAAAGCAGAUACCCCCUCAGCACAGCUGAACUGUAAGACAGCCUUCUAAAGGUAAUGUUAUUGGCAGAGACUGUGCAAAGUUACAGCUGAUAUCUGUAUUGGCUUUCUUCCAGCUGGAACUUAGUUAACAUGAAACAUAUCUUGGGGAGAAAAUGGGGUUUCUCUUCACAUAAUUUUAGCAGCAGUAGAGCAUUAUGAAAUAGAAAAUUCCUAUUUGGCACCACCUAACUUUCAACCUCAAAUCUCAUGGAUUGUCAUUUUGCUGUCCUUUUCUUCUUUGGCAAAGAUGGAAAAUUCAGUAGCCAAUCUUGUUUAGCCACAAAUGCUUUUCAAACUCUUUUACCAUGAACUCAGUUGCUGACUUUAAUUCUCUGAACUCCCUCUUUAAGAGGGGCUAAUGCUGUUGACUGUUACUUCCUUUCCCAGUCAAUCAGAAAAUAAUUAUAUGCACAGAAGUGAUACCAUAAACUGAAUUUACUGUCUCGUAGUCUGUCAGUACCCUGCUGAAGGGAUAUACACAGCACCACUACUAAACCAGACUAUUCUGCAGACCUGCAUGCUAAAGCAUAUUAUAUACAACACAAAUCCCCACACUUGCAGUGUGCUUUAGCAGUUGGAAAAAAAACUGCAAAGAACUGGAGUUCACUCCCAUCCACUCUUUCCUUCCUGAUGCCACCUUACGCCCCCACCCUCUUUCAAAAAUGGAUUCAUUACACAAUGAAUGAGAAAGUUUUUUUUCUGGACAGAAGCCAUUGUUGCCACUGCAAUGGAACUUUUAUUCCAAAUACAUUCUUAUAAUAAAGCUGUUAUUUUGUUAUACAAGUAGACAAAUCCGCAAGACCUAAGAUUCUCAUAUUUCAUGUUAAAACACCAGGCUCAACUGAACUGCAGCCGCUCCCAUUCAUUUCCUAAAGCAUGUUAGGGACUUUUCAGAGCAAUGGAAAUAAUGAUGUAAACCAAGUCAUGUAGAUAAUUAAAUUACAGUCCAAGGAAAUUUCUAACACCACAGAAAAGUGUAUCUGCUCAUUCUUCAGGCUCCUUAAAGUGUAGGGUGGCAAAAUUUCUUUAUAAA